GCUCCUAAAUAUUCCACAGUCAACUGUCAGCUGUAUUAUAAGAACGUGGAAGUGUUUGGGAACGACAGCAACUCAGCCACGAAGUGGUAGGCCACGUAAACUGACGGAGCGGGGUCAGCGGAUGCUGAGGCGCAUAGUGCGAAGAGGUCGCCAACUUUCUGCAGAGUCAAUCGCUACAGACCUCCAAACUUCAUGUGGCCUUCAGAUUAGCUCAAGAACAGUGCGCAGAGAGCUUCAUGGAAUGGGUUUCCAUGGCCGAGCAGCUGCAUCCAAGCCAUACAUCACCAAGUGCAAUGCAAAGCGUCGGAUGCAGUGGUGUAAAGCACGCCGCCACUGGACUCUAGAGCAGUGGAGACGCGUGUUCUCUGGAGUGACGAAUCGCGCUUCUCCAUCUGGCAAUCUGAUGGACGAGUCUGGGUUUGGCGGUUGCCAGGAGAACGGUACUUGUCUGACUGCAUUGUGCCAAGUGUAAAGUUUGGUGGAGGGGGGAUUAUGGUGUGGGGUUGUUUUUCAGGAGCUGGGCUUGGCCCCUUAGUUCCAGUGAAAGGAACUCUGAAUGCUUCAGCAUACCAAGACAUUUUGGACAAUUCCAUGCUCCCAACUUUGUGGGAACAGUUUGGAGCUGGCCCCUUCCUCUUCCAACAUGACUGUGCACCAGUGACCAAAGCAAGGUCCAUAAAGACAUGGAUGACAGAGUCUGGUGUGGAUGAAGUUGACUGGCCUGCACAGAGUCCUGACCUCAACCCCAUAGAACACCUUUGGGAUGAAUUAGAGCGGAGACUGAGAGCCAGGCCUUCUCGUCCAACAUCAGUGUGUGACCUCACAAAUGCGCUUCUGGAAGAAUGGUCAAAAAUUCCCAUAAACACACUCCUAAACCUUGUGGACAGCCUUCCCAGAAGAGUUGAAGCUGUUAUAGCUGCAAAGGGUGGACCGACGUCAUAUUGAACCCUAUGGAUUAGGAAUGGGAUGUCACUUAAGUUCAUAUGCGAGUCAAGGCAGGUGAGAGAAUACUUUUGGCAAUAUAGUGUGUAUAUAUACAUAGACAUAUAUUUGCAUAUGCAUAUCUGAUCUGACACUGACCUUCCACACUGUCCACACUUUAAAUUUUUCUUUUUUUUAAUUUUUUUAUUUUUUACUCUUUCUUUUCAUGUAAGACAGUCGUAAAAAGCAUUUCACUACAUGUCGUACUGUGUAUGAUUUCGUAUGUGAUUAAUAAAAUUUGAAUUUGAAAUUUGAAUAUAUCCCUCCCAGCGACUCCCCUUAUUACGAUGAGGAGUUCUUCCACAAGCUUCACACUGAGAUCUGCAGCUUCCAGCUGAUCUGUGGAGACCUGAACGCCCACACCGGCUCUCUCCCUGACUUUAACACAGAGGAUGGAAGCAGUUUUAUAUUCGGACAACAUUACCCAAGAAACCCGACCAACCUUCCCCACCACAACUUUGACUCGCAGGUCAAUAAAAAUGGAAAGGACCUGCUGCAGCUCUGUCAAAGCCUGGGUCUGUACAUUAUAAACGGAAGGACACGAGGAGACUCUUUAGGCAGCCGCAGCAGACCAGCUGGAGCCCGACUUCCCUGAACCCUGCCUCCUCCUGCCCCACCCUGCUGCCUGGCCCGUCAGUGCCCUACUUCCUGUCGGUGACGCUUCACUUCCUGUUGGCAGCUGCAGGCUUGGAUCCGGAAUAAACGGGAGCUGAAAGGAUUGGGAAACACGCGGUCAGAGAGCCGCUGCGUCCAGACAGUAACAGGGCCGUGAGAUUGCGGCUGCAGAAUCACACACUUCAGAUGACACACACCACACGCGGGUCAGAGCUCAGGGCUCUGGACUGGACAUGGGGGUGAGGCCUGCAGAUGGACACACACUGCAUUUCCUGUAGAACAGGAAGUGCCCACAUUCUGACAGCAGCAGGACAGGAAGUGCGGGAGCUGCACCUCCGCUCUUCAUCUCAUCACUCUCUUCACACUCCGGGCUGUGAGGCCUCUUUCACACACACACACACACACACACAGGGCCGUCCUCUGUCCACAGCUGGCCAGACUUGGUGGAGCCGAGCAGGGCGGAGAGCAGAGGCCCGACUUUCCUACACAAACACACAGCCAGCAGUGUGUGAGGAAAAGUAUCUGUGGUUCCUUCACACCUUCCUGAAGAUGUCCAGAUGCCAUCAGAGAAGCAGCUCAUCUCAACACCUGGGACUCGUCUACAGACGGAGAGAAACUGAACAGCUGCAUGUUUAUGACUGACCAAACAUCUCACCAACCUCAUCAAGGCCCUUAACCCUCACCUGCUCAGUCAGAUAAAUGGAUUUCCGGAGCUUUCUGUGUGUCGUGGCAGAUCAGGGACACAGUACUGCCCAGGAACUGGAACAGAACUGCAGUGUGUGUGUGUGUGUGUGUGUGUGUGUGUGUGUGUGUGUGUUUGUGUGGCCUCUGUUCUCAGCUUCAUUAUAGCUCUGCAUUUAUUUGUCGGUGUGUUUUCUGGUCGUUCCUUUCU